UACGUUGGGGGCGAGCGUUAUCCGGAUUCAUUGGGCGUAAAGCGCGCGCAGGCGGACUUGCAAGCGGGGCCUUUAAUCUUAGGGCUUAACCUUAAGUCGGGCUCCGAACUGCAAGUCUCGAGUGUGGUAGGGGAAGGCGGAAUUCCCGGUGUAGCGGUGGAAUGCGUAGAUAUCGGGAAGAACACCGAUGGCGAAGGCAGCCUUCUGGGCCAUUACUGACGCUGAGGCGCGAAAGCUGGGGGAGCGAACAGG
rnacentral:rRNA from 1 species